GAAGAAGAAGAAGAAGAAGAAGAAGAAGAAGAAGAAGAAGAAGAAGAAGACGACCACCCUAGGAGGACAUUGCUUUACAUGGUUCUGCUCUAGGCUGCAGCAGACCAAACCAAAAUGGAGUCACUUGUGUCAACUGUCAUCCCUUAGAACCUGUUCUGUGUUCUGGGGAGUCUUGACUGUUUCCUCAGUGUGAUAAUGAAGUUUUUGCUGCUUUAAGCCUUGUGAAAGACCUCCCUGUGUGAUGAACUGGGGGCGUUCAGUUGGUAGUAUUCACCUCGCACGCAUAAAGCCCUAACUUAGGUCCCCAAUGUGGCAUAAAAGUCUUCCAGGGGUUAACCUCUCAGAGUUCGGGCAUUUCCUUGUUCCCUCCUCACAAACCCCGUAGUGUUUUUGCUCUGUCCUUGGCCCAGCAAGAGCUUUCUGUUCUGCUUUGUGGUUGGAAACAGUCUCGAUGCAGGAACCACAAACAAAAUGCUAUUUGGGUCUGCAACGGGAUCUACUUGAGGUACCGAACGUCAUCGUGAACAAGGUGCACUCCAGUCAAGAAGUCCUGAUCAUUACAACGGGUCUGGUUAGGCUUGGGGACCACGGUUACUCAACUCCUCUGUACGCUGUUGAGUUCUGAAGGAGCAGCCCGUUCAGACCUCCUGCUUAGAAGAGUCUGUGCAAGAAUGGGGGCCGUUUCUUCCUUGAAUACGUGGAGAAAGUGGUCUGGUCCGAUGCCUUCUGAGGCAGUUUUUAUCACAUUCCUCAGUGGGCAGCUCCAGGGACCCAUCUAGCUGUGAUCCUAAAGAUGACCACAGUAUCCCUUGUUGCUUUGGGCGUGGCCACUUCUGUCCUUUGUGUCCUGGUUCAGCUUGGAAUUGAUUGUGCUCCCCCGCUGCUCUUCCUGGCGCUUGAAACACUUUCUCUGAAGCCCAGGGCAUUCAUUAAUUUUCUUAUUAGUGUGGCCAAGACAGCCAGGCAGAAACCAAUUACAGGAAGGCAGGCUGACUUCUGACUCACAGUCUGGGAGGUGUGUUAGUCCAUCCUAAAGAGUGUGGUGGAGAUUCUUCCCGAGGUGCAGGGCCUGGAAGCAGAGAGAGCUGGAACCAGGAAUUAUAACUUUCAGAGCACACAGCCGCCAGUCCCCUCGGGAAGGAGGACGUAGCUCUGAGGGUGGAACGCUUGCCUAACACACAAAUCCCCAGGUUCCAUCCCCAGCACCCCACAGAGUAGACACGGGGAAGGGAGCACACCUGUGACCUCGGCUCUCUCCAGAGGUGGAGGCAGGGGGAUCAGGUUCAAGAUCACCCGCAGCCACGCAAAAAAUUUGAGGCCAGCCUGGGCUACAGGAGUGAGACGCUAAAACGAAACAAAGUUUACCCGAAAGUGACCUAGUUCUUAGAGCUCCACAGCCUUCAAGAUGGCAUCACAAGCUCGAGACCAAGAAUUCAAAACACCGGCCUCAGAAGAACAUUCUAGAUCCAAACUAUAACACCUGUAUGGGCCACAAAUUCCCGGGCUCUAGUGAUUCUCCCACCUCAGCCUCCUGAACUCUGACACUACCGACAUGACACUUGGCUUCUCCUCUUGUCUCAGCCACUCCUGCUGGGAUACGUAUUCACUUUCCCUGGUAUUUUCAAAGGACUAAUAGUAUUUCUAAUUGUUCAUUCUUUCUAUUGUAUAUUUCAUAUCUUA
rnacentral:sRNA from 1 species